rnacentral:rRNA from 1 species
GUUUGGCACCUCGAUGUCGGCUCAUCACAUCCUGGGGCUGUAGUAGGUCCCAAGGGUUGGGCUGUUCGCCCAUUAAAGUGGUACGCGAGCUGGGUUCAGAACGUCGUGAGACAGUUCGGUCCCUAUCCGUCGCAGGCGUAGGAAAUUUGAGAAGACCUGUCCUUAGUACGAGAGGACCGGGAUGGACGUACCUCUGGUGUACCAGUUGU